CCUACGGGGGGCUGCAGUGGGGAAUAUUGGACAAUGGGGGGAACCCUGAUCCAGCCAUGCCGCGUGUGUGAAGAAGGCCCUCGGGUUGUAAAGCACUUUCAGUGAGGAAGAACGCCUGGUGGUUAAUACCCAUCAGGAAAGACAUCACUCACAGAAGAAGCACCGGCUAACUCCGUGCCAGCAGCCGCGGUAAUACGGAGGGUGCGAGCGUUAAUCGGAAUUACUGGGCGUAAAGCGCGCGUAGGUGGCUUGAUAAGCCGGUUGUGAAAGCCCCGGGCUCAACCUGGGAACGGCAUCCGGAACUGUCAAGCUAGAGCGUAGGAGAGGAAGGUAGAAUUCCGGGUGUAGCGGUGAAAUGCGUAGAGAUUCGGAGGAAUACCAGUGGCGAAGGCGGCCUUCUGGACUGACACUGACACUGAGGUGCGAAAGCGUGGGUAGCAAACAGGAUUAGAUACCCUAGUAGUC
rnacentral:rRNA from 1 species